UACGAAGGGGGCUAGCGUUGCUCGGAAUCACUGGGCGUAAAGCGCACGUAGGCGGCUUUUUAAGUCAGGGGUGAAAUCCUGGAGCUCAACUCCAGAACUGCCUUUGAUACUGAGAAGCUUGAGUCCGGGAGAGGUGAGUGGAACUGCGAGUGUAGAGGUGAAAUUCGUAGAUAUUGGGAAGAACACCGGUGGCGAAGGCGGCUCACUGGCCCAUUACUGACGCUGAGGCACGAAAGCGUGGGGAGCAAACAGG
rnacentral:rRNA from 1 species